rnacentral:misc_RNA from 1 species
GUGAAUCAUCGAAUUUUUGAACGCAAAUUGCACUCUCCGCUGAUAGUAGGCCUAUGUGAGUUUCAGCCUAUAAAAAAUCUACAUCGUUACUGUUUCGCGGUUGCGUUCGUCGGGAAUUGGGUCAUCGUAAUUCUUUUGGCUUUAAGCGACUUAAAAUUUUCGUUUUGGUUCCAUGAACGUUUCUAAGAUUGAUUUCUUUACACUGUUAAGUUAUCGAUUGCUAUUAGACGUGACCAUCAGUGCGGAACGCACCCGUA